rnacentral:rRNA from 1 species
UCCUACGGGGAGGCAGCAGUAGGGAAUCUUCGGCAAUGGGGGGAACCCUGACCGAGCAACGCCGCGUGAGUGAAGAAGGUUUUCGGAUCGUAAAGCUCUGUUGUUAAGGAAGAACGAGUGUGAAAAUGGAAAGUUCAUACUGUGACGGUACUUAACCAGAAAGGGACGGCUAACUACGUGCCAGCAGCCGCGGUAAUACGUAGGUCCCGAGCGUUGUCCGGAUUUAUUGGGCGUAAAGCGAGCGCAGGCGGUUAGAAAAGUCUGAAGUGAAAGGCAGUGGCUCAACCAUUGUAGGCUUUGGAAACUGUUUAACUUGAGUGCAGAAGGGGAGAGUGGAAUUCCAUGUGUAGCGGUGAAAUGCGUAGAUAUAUGGAGGAACACCGGUGGCGAAAGCGGCUCUCUGGUCUGUAACUGACGCUGAGGCUCGAAAGCGUGGGGAGCGAACAGGAUUAGAUACCCUGGUAGUCC